GGGUGAGUAAUGUAUCGGAACGUACCAUUCAGUGGGGGAUAACGUAGCGAAAGUUACGCUAAUACCGCAUAUUCUGUGAGCAGGAAAGCAGGGGAUCGCAAGACCUUGCGCUGAUUGAGCGGCCGAUAUCAGAUUAGCUAGUUGGUGAGGUAAAGGCUCACCAAGGCGACGAUCUGUAGCGGGCCUGAGAGGAUGAUCCGCCACACUGGAACUGAGACACGGUCCAGACUCCUACGGGAGGCAGCAGUGGGGAAUUUUGGACAAUGGGGGCAACCCUGAUCCAGCCAUGCCGCGUGAGUGAAGAAGGCCUUCGGGUUGUAAAGCUCUUUCGGCCGGGAAAAAAUCGCAUAGGUUAAUACCCUGUGUGGAUGAUGGUACCGGAAUAAGAAGCACCGGCUAACUACGUGCCAGCAGCCGCGGUAAUACGUAGGGUGCGAGCGUUAAUCGGAAUUACUGGGCGUAAAGCGUGCGCAGGCGGUUUUGUAAGACAGGCGUGAAAUCCCCGGGCUCAACCUGGGAACUGCGCUUGUGACUGCAAGGCUAGAGUACGGCAGAGGGGGGUGGAAUUCCACGUGUAGCAGUGAAAUGCGUAGAGAUGUGGAGGAACACCAAUGGCGAAGGCAGCCCCCUGGGUCGAUACUGACGCUCAUGCACGAAAGCGUGGGUAGCAAACAGGAUUAGAUACCCUGGUAGUCCACGCCCUAAACGAUGUCAACUAGGUGUUGGGUGGGUAAAACCAUUUAGUACCGUAGCUAACGCGAGAAGUUGACCGCCUGGGGAGUACGGCCGCAAGGUUAAAACUCAAAGGAAUUGACGGGGACCCGCACAAGCGGUGGAUGAUGUGGAUUAAUUCGAUGCAACGCGAAAAACCUUACCUACCCUUGACAUGUCCAGGAGCCCGAAGAGAUUUGGGUGUGCUCGAAAGAGAACUGGAACACAGGUGCUGCAUGGCUGUCGUCAGCUCGUGUCGUGAGAUGUUGGGUUAAGUCCCGCAACGAGCGCAACCCUUGUCGUUAAUUGCCAUCAUUCAGUUGGGCACUUUAACGAGACUGCCGGUGACAAACCGGAGGAAGGUGGGGAUGACGUCAAGUCCUCAUGGCCCUUAUGGGUAGGGCUUCACACGUCAUACAAUGGUCGGUACAAAGGGUUGCCAACCCGCGAGGGGGAGCUAAUCCCAUAAAGCCGAUCGUAGUCCGGAUCGUAGGCUGCAACUCGCCUGCGUGAAGUCGGAAUCGCUAGUAUCGUGGAUCAGCAUGUCACGGUGAAUACGUUCCCGGGUCUUGUACACACCGCCCGUCACACCAUGGGAGCGGGUUCCGCCAGAAGUAGGUAGCCUAACCGCAAGGGGGGCGCUUACCACGGCGGGGUUCGUGACUGGGGUGAAGUCGUAACAAGGUA
rnacentral:rRNA from 1 species